UACGUAGGGGGCAAGCGUUGUCCGGAAUCAUUGGGCGUAAAGCGCGCGUAGGCGGCUCGGUCAGUCCGUUCUGAAAGUCGAAGGCUCAACCUUCGAAUGCGGAUGGAUACUGCCGGGCUAGAAUCCGGAAGAGGCGAGUGGAAUUCCUGGUGUAGCGGUGGAAUGCGCAGAUAUCAGGAGGAACACCAAUAGCGAAGGCAGCUCGCUGGGACGGUACUGACGCUGAGGCGCGAAAGCGUGGGGGGAGCAAACAGG
rnacentral:rRNA from 1 species